rnacentral:rRNA from 1 species
GGGUGAGUAACACGUGAGUAACCUGCCCCUGACUCUGGGAUAAGCCUGGGAAACUGGGUCUAAUACCGGAUACGACCAUUUCUCGCAUGGGAUGGUGGUGGAAAGUUUUUUCGGUUGGGGAUGGGCUCGCGGCCUAUCAGCUUGUUGGUGGGGUGAUGGCCUACCAAGGCGACGACGGGUAGCCGGCCUGAGAGGGCGACCGGCCACACUGGGACUGAGACACGGCCCAGACUCCUACGGGAGGCAGCAGUGGGGAAUAUUGCGCAAUGGGCGGAAGCCUGACGCAGCGACGCCGCGUGGGGGAUGACGGCCUUCGGGUUGUAAACCUCUUUCAGCAGGGACGAAGUUGACGUGUACCUGUAGAAGAAGCGCCGGCUAACUACGUGCCAGCAGCCGCGGUAAUACGUAGGGCGCAAGCGUUGUCCGGAAUUAUUGGGCGUAAAGAGCUCGUAGGUGGCUUGUCGCGUCUGCCGUGAAAGCCCGUGGCUUAACUACGGGUCUGCGGUGGAUACGGGCAGGCUAGAGGCUGGUAGGGGCAAGCGGAAUUCCUGGUGUAGCGGUGAAAUGCGCAGAUAUCA